rnacentral:rRNA from 1 species
AGUGAACGCUGGCGGUAGGCCUAACACAUGCAAGUCGAACGGCAGCACAGUAAGAGCUUGCUCUUACGGGUGGCGAGUGGCGGACGGGUGAGGAAUACAUCGGAAUCUACUUUUUCGUGGGGGAUAACGUAGGGAAACUUACGCUAAUACCGCAUACGACCUACGGGUGAAAGCAGGGGAUCUUCGGACCUUGCGCGAUUGAAUGAGCCGAUGUCGGAUUAGCUAGUUGGCGGGGUAAAGGCCCGCCAAGGCGACGCUCCGUAGCUGGUCUGAGAGGAUGAUCAGCCACACUGGAACUGAGACACGGUCCAGACUCCUACGGGAGGCAGCAGUGGGGAAUAUUGGACAAUGGGCGCAAGCCUGAUCCAGCCAUACCGCGUGGGUGAAGAAGGCCUUCGGGUUGUAAAGCCCUUUUGUUGGGAAAGAAAAGCAGCAGGUUAAUACCCCGCUGUUCUGACGGUACCCAAAGAAUAAGCACCGGCUAACUUCGUG